rnacentral:rRNA from 1 species
GACGAACGCUGGCGGCGUGCUUAACACAUGCAAGUCGAACGGUGAAGGGACCGGUUUUUGCUGGUUCUGGUUGAGUGUCGAACGGGUGAGUAACACGUGAGUAACCUUCCCCCUUCUUCUGGAUAACCGCAUGAAAGUGUGGCCAAUACGGGAUAUUCUGCUCCUGCUGCAUGGUGGGUGUGGUCAAGCUAUUGUUUCGGUGGUGGGUGGGCUCGCGGCCUAUCAGCUUGUUGGUGGGGGGCUGGCCUACCAAGGCGGUGACGGGUAGGCGGCCUGGGAGGGUGGACGGCCACACUGGGACUGAGACACGGAGAAGACUACUACGGGAGGCAGCAGGGGGGAAUAUUGCACGAUGGGCGCAAGCCUGAUGCAGCGACGCCGCGGGAGGGAUGGAGGCCUUCGGAUUGUAAACCUCUUUCGCGAGUGAAGCAGGCCUGUCCAUUUUGUGGGUGGGUUGACGGUAGCUGGAGAAGAAGCGCCGGCUAACUACGUG